UGACGGUACCUGACUAAGAAGCACCGGCUAAAUACGUGCCAGCAGCCGCGGUAAUACGUAUGGUGCAAGCGUUAUCCGGAUUUACUGGGUGUAAAGGGAGCGCAGGCGGCCAUGCAAGCCAGAGGUGAAAACCCGGGGCUCAACCCCGUGAUUGCCUUUGGAACUGUUUGGCUUGAGUACUGGAGGGGCAGGCGGAAUUCCUGGUGUAGCGGUGAAAUGCGUAGAUAUCAGGAGGAACACCGGUGGCGAAGGCGGCCUGCUGGACAGAAACUGACGCUGAGGCUCGAAAGCGUGGGGAGCAAACAGGAUUAGAUACCCUG
rnacentral:rRNA from 1 species